rnacentral:misc_RNA from 1 species
CCUAAGAGAUACGUGUUAUGUGCAGUGCUCACACAGAUUGUCUGAUGAAGAACGAGCAGAGAUACCGGUAUAGGCUUGUAGCUCAGGUGGUUAGAGCGCACCCCUGAUAAGGGUGAGGUCGGUGGUUCAAGUCCACUCAGGCCUACCACUUUUCCUUUAUGCUGUGUUGUGAAGCAACUCGUUUACAUUAAGUAAACUUCGUUACUCCACGCCUUGCCUAAAGAAAAAGCUUCUUAUUAUAAGAAGAAAAAGGAGUGGUUAUACGGGUAUUAAAAUAUUAUGGGGCUAUAGCUCAGCUGGGAGAGCGCCUGCCUUGCGCGCAGGAGGUCAGCGGUUCGAUCCCGCUUAGCUCCUCCAUAAUCUCUUGAAUAUAAAACAAUGAUUCAGAGUAUAUUAGGAAUAGUAUACUGCGAAUUAUUAUGCUCUUUAACAAUCUGGAACAAGCUGAAAAAUUGAAAACAAAUCAAUAUAUCAACGAGGUAUAUUGGUGAGUCUCUCAAAAUCUCAAACCUUAAAGUUUGUCACGCAAAGUUUAUCUUUGAAAAAGACACUUUCGGGUUGUGA